rnacentral:rRNA from 1 species
CGGGUGGCUGCAGCAGUGAGGAAUAUUGCACAAUGGAGGAAACUCUGAUGCAGCAACGCCGCGUGGAGGAUGACGCAUUUCGGUGUGUAAACUCCUUUUAUAUGUCAAGAAAAUGACGGUAGCAUAUGAAUAAGCACCGGCUAACUCCGUGCCAGCAGCCGCGGUAAUACGGAGGGUGCAAGCGUUACUCGGAAUCACUGGGCGUAAAGGACGCGUAGGCGGGAUAUCAAGUCAGGUGUGAAAUCCUACAGCUUAACUGUAGAACUGCACUUGAAACUGGUAACCUAGAGUAUGGGAGGGGGAGAUGGAAUUAGUGGUGUAGGGGUAAAAUCCGUAGAUAUCACUAGGAAUACCUAAAGCGAAGGCGAUCUCCUGGAACAUAACUGACGCUAAGGCGUGAAAGCGUGGGGAGCAAACAGGAUUAGAUACCCGCGUAGUC